ensembl:snoRNA
ACCCUUUUGUAGUUCAUAAGCAUGAUGAUUGGGUUUUCACGCUCAUGUGUGAAACCUUGUUAUGACAUUGGCACACUGCCUGACA